rnacentral:rRNA from 1 species
GGGUGAGUAACACGUGGGCAAUCUGCCCUGCACUCUGGGACAAGCCCUGGAAACGGGGUCUAAUACCGGAUACGACCUUCCUCUGCAUGGGGGUUGGUGGAAAGCUCCGGCGGUGCAGGAUGAGCCCGCGGCCUAUCAGCUUGUUGGUGGGGUAAUGGCCUACCAAGGCGACGACGGGUAGCCGGCCUGAGAGGGCGACCGGCCACACUGGGACUGAGACACGGCCCAGACUCCUACGGGAGGCAGCAGUGGGGAAUAUUGCACAAUGGGCGAAAGCCUGAUGCAGCGACGCCGCGUGAGGGAUGACGGCCUUCGGGUUGUAAACCUCUUUCAGCAGGGAAGAAGCGAAAGUGACGGUACCUGCAGAAGAAGCACCGGCUAACUACGUGCCAGCAGCCGCGGUAAUACGUAGGGUGCGAGCGUUGUCCGGAAUUAUUGGGCGUAAAGAGCUCGUAGGCGGCCUGUUGCGUCGGUUGUGAAAGCCCGGGGCUUAACCCCGGGUCUGCAGUCGAUACGGGCAGGCUAGAGUUCGGUAGGGGAGAUCGGAAUUCCUGGUGUAGCGGUGAAAUGCGCAGAUAUCAGGAGGAACACCGGUGGCGAAGGCGGAUCUCUGGGCCGAUACUGACGCUGAGGAGCGAAAGCGUGGGGAGCGAACAGGAUUAGAUACCCUGGUAGUCCACGCCGUAAACGUUGGGAACUAGGUGUGGGCGACAUUCCACGUCGUCCGUGCCGCAGCUAACGCAUUAAGUUCCCCCGCCUGGGGAGUACG